CGUGAUGAUUUGUCAUGUUAGGAGGAUUCAUACAGCAAUUAGACGACAAGCAUUUCCUGGGAAUCGUUUUCACUUGCCUUCGAGGGCGGACUUUUAUAGACCGGCAAAGGUGCUUUUUAUACCAAUGAAAGUGGCGCUUAGUGGGACUUUCAAGUCAAAAGAGAAACUUGGAUGGCUUUGGGGGCAAGUUGGUCCUUAAAACCACUUGAUACCACCUUUGCUUUCUUUCUUAUUAUAAAGUAAAGUAGUCACGGACUAACCCUAGUUCACACUAAGUUAGCAACUAUCCAAUCAAUAUGGUGGAUUUAUUUGUGUUUGUUAUAUGUCUUGGAAUAGUAUGGUAAUUGGAUCACUACUUAAAUUGGAAUGAAUAAACAAGUGACGUAGGAGGCUGGGGUCCAUUAGGCUUGUAAAUGGGUGUUGUAAUUUGAGAUUUGAUCUUCUAUAUAAUGGGUCAGAACUAAGAGUUGUGAGUGUAAUAUAAAGAGAAAUGGAGAGUAAGAUGUGUAAGGUUUAAAAAGUACACAAAAUUUAGAAUAAAUGUAUUUUUUAGUUAAAUUAUGUAGAAGGUGAAUGGAAUGUGAAUGCUCCGAGUCUAUAAAUAUAAAAGUUUGUUUUUUAUUUUCUCUUAAUUGUAAUGUAUUUUAGAGAAUGAGAUAAGUGGUGUUUUGGAUGGUU